AGCGGCGGACGGGUGAGUAACACGUGGGUAACCUGCCCAAGAGACUGGGAUAACACCUGGAAACAGAUGCUAAUACCGGAUAACAACACUAGACGCAUGUCUAGAGUUUGAAAGAUGGUUCUGCUAUCACUCUUGGAUGGACCUGCGGUGCAUUAGCUAGUUGGUAAGGUAACGGCUUACCAAGGCAAUGAUGCAUAGCCGAGUUGAGAGACUGAUCGGCCACAUUGGGACUGAGACACGGCCCAAACUCCUACGGGAGGCAGCAGUAGGGAAUCUUCCACAAUGGACGAAAGUCUGAUGGAGCAACGCCGCGUGAGUGAAGAAGGGUUUCGGCUCGUAAAGCUCUGUUGGUAGUGAAGAAAGAUAGAGGUAGUAACUGGCCUUUAUUUGACGGUAAUUACUUAGAAAGUCACGGCUAACUACGUGCCAGCAGCCGCGGUAAUACGUAGGUGGCAAGCGUUGUCCGGAUUUAUUGGGCGUAAAGCGAGUGCAGGCGGUUCAAUAAGUCUGAUGUGAAAGCCUUCGGCUCAACCGGAGAAUUGCAUCAGAAACUGUUGAACUUGAGUGCAGAAGAGGAGAGUGGAACUCCAUGUGUAGCGGUGGAAUGCGUAGAUAUAUGGAAGAACACCAGUGGCGAACGCGGCUCUCUGGUCUGCAACUGACGCUGAGGCUCGAAAGCAUGGGUAGCGAACAGGAUUAGAUACCCUGGGUAGUCCAUGCCGUAAACGAUGAGUGCUAAGUGU
rnacentral:rRNA from 1 species